CGAUGCUUGCUGAGCGGGCGCGCGCGCGGCUGGGCACGUGGGGCUCUUUCGUCCUAGGCAUUUGGGAGCCCAGCGCUAGUACACCCCCGGCCCAGGCCCGAGGGCUCCUGGCCGAUGAAUUCACUUAGGCCCAGGGAGAUGGAGUGAUUCAUUCAUUCAAGGUCACCCAGUGUCAAGGAUGGAAUCCAGACCUUCUAAUUUCCUUAUUGUGAACCUGCACUAUCAUGUGGAUACGUGACUGAAUUCCAUACCACCCAUUUUACAGAUGAAGCCACUGAGAUAUGGAGCAACUGACUAAAUAGUUACUGCCCCACCCCGGAGCCUCACACAUGACUCUUCUCCUCCCACUCCAGUGACUGAAGGAUAAAUUCCAAGAAAUGGAAUGGCUGAGUUAAAAGGUGAGACAUGGUCUUUUGACUGUAACAUGAUAGUUGAGAAUGUGACUCUGGAGCCAGCCUGCUGGGGCCUAAAUUCUGACUCAACCACUUACUGUGUGGCCUUGGAUAAUUGUAUUUUCAUCAACAUGGAGGCAAGACCCUUCACCAGCAAAAAAAUUAUGACUUACUGAAGGCUCAGAUGAUGGUUAGCACUUUUAGCAAUAAAGUAUUUUUAAAUUAAGCAUGGACAUACCCUGAGGCUGCUGGGGACCGUCGUGCCACCCCAAGGGGAAUGCUGAAGCCAACACAUGAAAGCCGAGCGAUGAGGUGGAAAGAAAUGGAGACAGAUGACAUCUUUCCAGCACCUGCCUCUAACCAUGCCUUACACUGGUCUAACUGGGCAUUUCAUUUACGUGGGCCUGGGCUUUCCUUUUUGUUUUUUUCCCUUUUGAAAGUUUGAUUUGGAUUUUUGUCACCUGUAGCCGGUAGAGUCUUCAUUCAUGUUAUGAAUUGUAUACAGUUCUCAUUACAAAGUGUGGUUCGGUCUUUCUCAACAGGUCCUUUUGUCUUAAAGUGAUGCAUUGUAAGUUUGCUGUAUGAAUCAAAUGAGACCGGCAUAUAAAGAACCUAGCCUUAUCCUCUGUACAUAGAAGAAACCUAGUAAAUAUUAACGACAGGAAGCGAAGAAUGAGGGAGGACAGGAAGUGAAGGCAGAUGGGGUACUGAAUUAAAAGAACCCUCAGACCCUAUCAGGCUCCUCUGUCCUCCAUGUCCCUAGCACCCUAAGUUUUUCCCUCAUCACCCUUUAUCACGGUUUGUGCUGAUAGGCUUAUGUAGUGUUUUGAUUGUCUCCCUCCCUGACCUGCCAGUUCUAUGAGGGCAGUGAUUUUACUCACUGUUAUAUCCCCAGCAGCUAGUCCAGUGUGCGGCAUUCAGCAAACAUGUACUGAUUGAAUUGUCACAGUUACCCAAAUUGGACUGACCCUCCUUGAUUAUUGGGGUUGAUUGUGACAGAAUUGGCAAAGUCAGGGAAAGCUAUUCCUGUCCCCUCUGUAUCGCCCACACUACCCACACCCCCAACACACAGAGAAUUUUGUCUUAAUGAGAUAAUUUUGAUUUGGUUGUUAAACCCUUCACAAAACCUCUAGUUUUUAUAUUUUUAUCGGAUUAUUUUAUUAAAGAGUUACAUAGUGUGGUGUUGGCCUAAUAUGUGGACAGCCUUGUAGGGAGUGGGUCAGGUCUCUGGUUAACAAGCAGUCUUCCUUGCUCCUCUGUCCAUAAAGUCCUGUAUUUAGCUGGGAUAGCUCCCCUUCACUCAGGCUUGCUCCAGGCUGUGUUGGAGGCUAUAGGAAGGCCCAGAAGUUGAUGAGAGAAAGGUCCUGGAUGCUGGAGACUUCACUCUCAAGCAAGAAACAAAAGCAGUAAAAGGUGGCCCUGGGAGGGGGUGGUAAACCGAAGCUCACCCCUUCAGUCCUCAUGUCCUGGGCCCAGCGGGAGCUCCAGGCACCCCCCCAUCCCCCUCACUGUGCAGUGCAUCCUCCUUCUGGCUGGGGCUGUGGUUCCUCCCUUCCCCCAGCCAGCUUUCCCUUGGGGGUGAAUGUUUCCCAGGGCCCAUGUGACUGCCACUGGCAAGUGACGAUUACAGCCGGUUACCAGUCAGUAAAACUGCCAGAGGCUUUGUGCUGUAAUAAUCCUUUUCCUGUUUAAAACUCUGGGGAUUUUCUACUGUUGCCAAUAGUUUUUCAAGUCAGGAAUUACGGUGUGGAUUAUGUAAUGGCUGGGUAUUAAAAAUAGAAAAGACCAGAGUUUGCAUCUAUUUUAACCAAAUCAAAACAGAGCUAAAGGAGGGGAAAGGAGGAGAGAGAGACCAGAGGAGGAGGGAAAAAGAUUACGUGACUAGAAGCAGUGAGAUCAACUCAUGUGACGGGACAAUCCAGCCCACAAUUUACUCUGCCCUUUUCCUGCCAUUUUUGGCCCGAGGGGCUGCACUCCCUCCCUCAGGCUUUUCUGGGGGUGGGGGACCCUACAGAGAAUUCAGAGGACUCAAGACCCUGGAGGAUAUUUCUCAGCUCAGCCUUAGAAUGUUUGCCUGCCUCUGACCAGCAAAAUGACUAAGGGAGGAAAGGGACUGAAUUUGACAUCCUACCCCCACCCCUCCAAGUCCAGGACUCCUGUGUCUUUUUUUUUUUUUUUUAAGAUUUUUUUA